rnacentral:rRNA from 1 species
AUUGAACGCUGGCGGCAGGCUUAACACAUGCAAGUCGAGCGGUAACAGGGGAAGCUUGCUUCCCGCUGACGAGCGGCGGACGGGUGAGUAAUGCUUAGGAAUCUGCCCAGUAGUGGGGGAUAGCCCGGGGAAACCCGGAUUAAUACCGCAUACGUCCUACGGGAGAAAGCAGGGGAUCUUCGGACCUUGCGCUAUUGGAUGAGCCUAAGUCGGAUUAGCUAGUUGGUGGGGUAAAGGCCUACCAAGGCGACGAUCCGUAGCUGGUCUGAGAGGAUGAUCAGCCACAUCGGGACUGAGACACGGCCCGAACUCCUACGGGAGGCAGCAGUGGGGAAUAUUGGACAAUGGGGGCAACCCUGAUCCAGCCAUGCCGCGUGUGUGAAGAAGGCUUUCGGGUUGUAAAGCAACUUUCAGUAGGGAGGAAACCUUUAUGGCUAAUACCCAUGAGGCUUGACGUUACCUACAGAAGAAGCACCGGCUAACUCCGUG